AUUGAACGCUGGCGGCAGGCUUAACACAUGCAAGUCGAGCGGAGUGAUGGUGCUUGCACUAUCACUUAGCGGCGGACGGGUGAGUAAUGCUUAGGAAUCUGCCUAUUAGUGGGGGACAACAUCUCGAAAGGGAUGCUAAUACCGCAUACGUCCUACGGGAGAAAGCAGGGGAUCUUUAUGACCUUGCGCUAAUAGAUGAGCCUAAGUCGGAUUAGCUAGUUGGUGGGGUAAGGCCUAACAAGGCGACGAUCUGUAGCGGGUCUGAGAGGAUGAUCCGCCACACUGGGACUGAGACACGGCCCAGACUCCUACGGGAGGCAGCAGUGGGGAAUAUUGGACAAUGGGGGGAACCCUGAUCCAGCCAUGCCGCGUGUGUGAAGAAGGCCUUAUAGUUGUAAAGCACUUUAAGCGAGGAGGAGGCUCUUUUGGUUAAUACCCAAGAUGAGUGGACGUUACUCGCAGAAUAAGCACCGGCUAACUCUGUGCCAGCCGCCGCGGUAA
rnacentral:rRNA from 1 species